rnacentral:tRNA from 1 species
UGGGUCGAUGCCCGAGAGGUUAAAGGGGGCGGAUUGUAAAUCCGCUGGCGUUUGCCUUCACUGGUUCGAAUCCGGUUCGACCCAU